GGCCUAUCUCCAAAUCGCGAAUUUGGUAGGAGGCAAAAAUAUGACGCGGAUAUUGUUCUGACAACCAAAAAGAACAAAAUCCAGCCCUUUUACAGACGAUGCUUAUAUCGACACGUUGUCUUUAAUCGACUUAAUCGCUGAACAAUGAUUGCAUUAAUGAAUACGGACUUGGCCUAAUAAGGGAAAUGCGGGGAUUGGAAGAAUACUUCUGCGUAAUCCAUGCAUGAAUAGGAUUGUACAGCGAUCUGUCUCAUCCGUGGAUACUGCUGUGAUGCUACCGCUAAGGACAGGGGGUUUUCUGUCUCCAGGCUGCGCUCUCAUUCCGCUCUCCACAGCUAUGCCGCUGACAGAUGAGCUCGGGGCCAGUAGGACGGAGGGCGAGCCGAAAGGUCAGACCGGAAGGACGGACGUAUACGUGCCUAGGUCCUGGGGAGCCCUUUUCCUGAACGUCCCAGUGGUCAGUCGUCACCUUCUCAAGACUUCCCAUGCUGUUCAAACAAAUGGACAGCCUCCUUGGAGCAAACCCAGGACUGAUGUGAGAGAGGACAUGUAGAGG